GCUAAACAGCUAGCUCAACCACCAAAAUAAACACAACAACAUUAACUAGUUUAACUAACCCCAAACCCAAAAACUAAACCAUUCUCCUGCCUUAGUACGGGCGACAGAAAAGGCACUUAGAAGCAAUAGAAAUAGUACCGCAAGGGAAAGCUGAAAGAGAAAUGAAACAACCCAUUUAAGCCCUAAAAAGCAGAGACUAACCCUCGUACCUUUUGCAUCAUGAUUUAGCUAGAACCUUUGGGCAAAGAGAACUUUAGUUCAAACCCCCGAAACCAAGUGAGCUACCCCGGGACAGCCUAUUUCAGGGCCAACCCGUCUCUGUGGCAAAAGAGUGGGAAGAUCCCCGGGUAGAGGUGACAGACCUACCGAACUUGGUGAUAGCUGGUUGUCUAGGAAAUGGAUAGAAGUUCAGCCUCGUUUUCCUCCACCCAGAAAAGCACUGCUGCCCUACGGUAAUAGAGAAAUAUACGAGAGUUAGUCAAAGGGGGUACAGCCCCUUUGAAACAGGACACAACCUGAAUCAGGAGGUUAAGGAUCACAUUAAAUAAGAUACACCGCUCCAGUGGGCCUAAAAGCAGCCACCUGCACAGAAAGCGUUAAAGCUCAGGCGGAACAGAAAUCUAUUAUUCUGAUAUAUAAACCCUAAACCCCUAUUAAUACUAGACCACUCCAUGCCUACAUGGAAGAGAUACUACUAAAAUGAGUAAUAAGAAGGCAACCCCUUCUCCUGGCCCACGUGUAUGUUAGAUCGGACUAACCACUAAUGAUUAACGAACCCAACCCAAGAGGGAAAAGUGACCAAACAACAAAACCAAGAAAACCCCACAAAUUACUAAUCGUUAUACCCACACUGGAGGGCAUUAAAGGAAAGACUAAAAGAAAAGGAAGGAACUCGGCAAACACAAGCCUCGCCUGUUUACCAAAAACAUCGCCUCCUGCAAAAAUCAAUGUAUAAGAGGUCCUACCUGCCCAGUGACAUUAAGUUAAACGGCCGCGGUAUUUUGACCGUGCUAAGGUAGCGCAAUCACUUGUCUUUUAAAUGAAGACCUGUAUGAAUGGUGGAACGAGGGCUUAACUGUCUCCCUUUUCAGGUCAAUGAAAUUGAUCUGCCCGUGCAGAAGCGGACAUAAUAAUACAAGACGAGAAGACCCUUUGGAGCUUAAGACACAAGGUCAACUAUGUCAAAAAUUCCUAUUAAUAGAAAUAAAACAAAAUAUUAACUGACCAAAGUCUUCGGUUGGGGCGACCGCGGGGGAAAACAAAGCCCCCAUGUGGAAUGGGGUAAAACCUAAAACCACGAGGGACACCUCUAAGUCACAGAACAUCUGACCAAAAGAUCCGGCACCUAAGCCGAUCAACGAACCAAGUUACCCUAGGGAUAACAGCGCAAUCCCCUCCAAGAGUCCAUAUCGACAAGGGGGUUUACGACCUCGAUGUUGGAUCAGGACAUCCUAAUGGUGCAGCCGCUAUUAAGGGUUCGUUUGUUCAACGAUUAAAGUCCUACGUGAUCUGAGUUCAGACCGGAGUAAUCCAGGUCAGUUUCUAUCUGUAAAGCUAUUUUUCCUAGUACGAAAGGACCGGAAAUAUGAAGCCUAUACCACAGGUACGCUUUAUUUUAACUUAAUGAAGACAACUAAAUUAAACAAAGAACAAGCACAAAAUUACCCGAGAUAAGGGAU
rnacentral:rRNA from 1 species